rnacentral:pre_miRNA from 1 species
CACUUGGAUAAAGUGCUUUAUUUUGUAAAUUACACCUAAAUAAGGACUUUAUCCAUGGAA